rnacentral:rRNA from 1 species
CUACGGGCCGCAGCAGUGAGGAAUAUUGCACAAUGGGGGGAACCCUGAUGCAGCAACGCCGCGUGGAGGAUAACGCAUUUCGGUGUGUAAACUCCUUUUAUAUGUCAAGAAAAUGACGGUAGCAUAUGAAUAAGCACCGGCUAACUCCGUGCUAGCAGCCGCGGUAAUACGGAGGGUGCAAGCGUUACUCGGAAUCACUGGGCGUAAAGGACGCGUAGGCGGGUUGGAAAGUCAGGUGUGAAAUCCUACAGCUUAACUGUAGAACUGCACUUGAAACUUCUAAUCUAGAGUAUGGGAGGGGGAGAUGGAAUUAGUGGUGUAGGGGUAAAAUCCGUAGAUAUCACUAGGAAUACCUAAAGCGAAGGCGAUCUCCUGGAACAUUACUGACGCUAAGGCGUGAAAGCGUGGGGAGCAAACAGGAUUAGAUACCCCCGUAGUC